AAAAAGGGUACUCGCUGAAACAUAUUCCUUAGGCGCAUUGCAGCGGCUCUGUCUCAUUUGACAGACUGCUCCUGUGGGGUAUGGCUUUACAUAUCCAGUGCAUAAUUUUUUGCUACGUGGGGAUUGUAGGCUGCGAUACAAUUGCGCCAAGCAUCCCC